GAUAAUACUGUGUCCUCUAGUAAUUUGUAUGACUGGAAUUUUAAAAGAUGUAAGUGAACAGAACUACAAAAUAUAAAAAUGGCAGAGACACGUAGCACACAUGGCCCCAUGUGGAGAGCGUGUGU